GAAUUCACUAGUGAUUCAGGCCUAACACAUGCAACUCGAGCGGUAGAGAGAAGCUUGCUUCUCUUGAGAAAAAAGGACGGGUGAGUAAUGCCUAGGAAUCUGCCUAGUAGUGGGGGAUAACGUUCGGAAACGGACGCUAAUACCGCAUACGUCCUACGGGAGAAAGCAGGGGACCUUCGGGCCUUGCGCUAUCAGAUGAGCCUAGGUCGGAUUAGCUAGUUGGUGAGGUAAUGGCUCACCAAGGCGACGAUCCGUAACUGGUCUGAGAGGAUGAUCAGUCACACUGGAACUGAGACACGGUCCAGACUCCUACGGGAGGCAGCAGUGGGGAAUAUUG
rnacentral:rRNA from 1 species